UAAGCAUCUGUGAUGUGCAUCCUCUAUAUUUUCAACCUUGCACUUCUGACUUUAGCACUUGUUGGUAAAGACAACAUUGGGGAAUAUAUUCCGAGAUGCUU